rnacentral:rRNA from 1 species
AGCGAACAUUGGCGGUAGGCUUAACACAUGCAAGUCGAGCGAGGCGUAAUAGUCGAGCGGCGAACGGGUGAGUAAUACAUGGGAAUCUACCUUGGAGUGGGGGAUAACAGCCAGAAAUGGCUGCUAAUACCGCAUAAUCCCGAGAGGGGAAAGCGCGCUGCGCUCCAAGAUGAGCCCAUGGCUGAUUAGCUAGUUGGUGGGGUAAAGGCCUACCAAGGCGACGAUCAGUAGCUGGUCUGAGAGGAUGAUCAGCCACACUGGAACUGAGACACGGUCCAGACUCCUACGGGAGGCAGCAGUGGGGAAUAUUGGACAAUGGGCGCAAGCCUGAUCCAGCCAUGCCGCGUGAGUGAUGAAGGCCCUAGGGUUGUAAAGCUCUUUCACCGGAGAAGAUAAUGACGGUAUCCGGAGAAGAAGCCCCGGCUAACUUCGUGCCAGCAGCCGCGGUAA